rnacentral:rRNA from 1 species
UGGGGAAUAUUGGACAAUGGGCGAAAGCCUGAUCCAGCCAUGCCGCGUGUGUGAAGAAGGUCUUCGGAUUGUAAAGCACUUUAAGUUGGGAGGAAGGGCAUUAACCUAAUACGUUAGUGUUUUGACGUUACCGACAGAAUAAGCACCGGCUAACUCUGUGCCUGCAGCCGCGGUAAUAAAGAGGGUGCAAGCGUUAAUCGGAAUUACUGGGCGUAAAGCGCGCGUAGGUGGUUUGUUAAGUUGGAUGUGAAAUCCCCGGGCUCAACCUGGGAACUGCAUUCAAAACUGACUGACUAGAGUAUGGUAGAGGGUGGUGGAAUUUCCUGUGUAGCGGUGAAAUGCGUAGAUAUAGGAAGGAACACCAGUGGCGAAGGCGACCACCUGGACUAAUACUGACACUGAGGUGCGAAAGCGUGGGGAGCAAACA